AACAGUUGAGACUAUGGACAGGGAGCGAUCCAGAAACAUUUCUUAAAUCUCUGCCUUUGCCUCUUUCAAGCUGUAUGCCCUAGGUGGUAUGGCAGAGUUCCAGGCCCAGCGGCUGCUCCCUGCACCUGCCCCCUCCACAUCCAAUUUCUUUGCAAUGGCCUAAAAAGCUAACCAAGCUGAAAUAGCUCAUUCCAAGGCUCUCAAACUCCGGCACCAUUAUUCAGUGUUUGCAGAGGCCUAGCCUCAUCCCUGCCACUCACCACUUCCCAUCUGCGGUAUCUUCGAUGCUCACCGUCCUGCUGGGCUUGAGGAUAAGAGCCCCAGCCUAGGAUGAGGUGCCACCCACAGUGAGCCAGUCUUCCCACUUCAUUCAGCAUAAUCCGGAUAAUACCCACAGGUAUGCCCAGAGCUCCAUCUCCCGGGUGAUUCUAGAUUUUUGUCAAGUUGACAAUGAACACCAAGCAAGCACAAGACUCCAGCUAAUUCAUCAGCUCUGUGUCAGUGCAUUAGGAUGCAAGAAGACUCUUACUUUACUCUCAGCAGAUGCCACGCCAUGCUCUUGGACUACCCAGCUUUUCAAAUCAUGAGCUUAAUAAAUCUCUAUUCUCUACCAGUUA